rnacentral:lncRNA from 1 species
GUUAAAGUUGACUGGGAUGACAGAUGGCUUUCACCAAGCGAGUGUUGUACAAUGCCUCUUGAUUUUCCUUGCCCCCGAACCAAGUCAAAAGUGGCGUCAAUGAGUCCUGGAUGCUGUCCUUGAAACACAGAUUUACAGCUUCUUUAAAGUUGAAGCCACCGAUGUAAUGGAAAUAGUUGACCUGAAACAGAAAAGACAGCAUUGUUGUAAAGUUCUAUAUGAAUAUCCUGGG